UGGGGAAUUUUGGGCAAUGGGGGAAACCCUGACCCAGCAACGCCGCGUGAAGGAUGAAGUAUUUCGGUAUGUAAACUUCGAAAGAAUAGGAAGAAUAAAUGACAGUACUAUUUAUAAGGUCCGGCUAACUACGUGCCAGCAGCCGCGGUAAUACGUAGGGACCAAGCGUUGUUCGGAUUUACUGGGCGUAAAGGGCGCGUAGGCGGCAAUUCAAGUCAUCUGUGAAAUCUCCGGGCUUAACCCAGAACGGCCAAGUGAAACUGUCAUGCUAGAGUGCAGAAGGGGCAAUCGGAAUUCUUGGUGUAGCGGUGAAAUGCGUAGAUAUCAAGAGGAACACCUGAGGUGAAGACGGGUUGCUGGGCUGACACUGACGCUGAGGCGCGAAAGCCAGGGGAGCAAACGGGAUUAGAUACCCCGGUAGUCCCUGAGCGGGCUGGCAAGGCGCAU
rnacentral:rRNA from 1 species